AAUCCAUAGGUUAAUGAGGCGAACCGGGGGAACUGAAACAUCUAAGUACCCCGAGGAAAAGAAAUCAACCGAGAUUCCCCCAGUAGCGGCGAGCGAACGGGGAGGAGCCCAGAGCCUGAAUCAGCAUGUGUGUUAGUGGAAGCGUCUGGAAAGGCGCGCGAUACAGGGUGACAGCCCCGUACACAAAAGCGCAUGUGUUGUGAGCUCGAUGAGUAGGGCGGGACACGUGGUAUCCUGUCUGAAUAUGGGGGGACCAUCCUCCAAGGCUAAAUACUCCUGACUGACCGAUAGUGAACCAGUACCGUGAGGGAAAGGCGAAAAGAACCCCGGCGAGGGGAGUGAAAAAGAACCUGAAACCGUGUACGUACAAGCAGUGGGAGCACCCUUUUGGG
rnacentral:rRNA from 1 species